UACGUAGGGACCAAGCGUUGUUCGGAUUUACUGGGCGUAAAGGGCGCGUAGGCGGCGUGGUAAGUCACUUGUGAAAUCUCUGAGCUUAACUCAGAACGGCCAAGUGAUACUGCUGUGCUAGAGUGCAGAAGGGGCAAUCCGGAAUUCUUGGUGUAGCGGUGAAAUGCGUAGAUAUCAAGAGGAACACCUGAGAUGAAGACGGGUUGCUGGGCUGACACUGACGCUGAGGCGCGAAAGCCAGGGGAGCAAACGGG
rnacentral:rRNA from 1 species